AUCUACUCUGCUGGAGUUUCGCAAGUAAGCUCAGGAUACAGGUGUAGACUGUGGUUAACUUCCUCUGUUGUGGUAUUUAAUUGAUAGAAGCUUCCUUUAAAAAAAAAAAUCUUCAUGAUAUCUGGAUCGUAUUUCAUUUUCUAUUUCAUCUAAGUACCUAGAACAGUCCAGAAAGAAGAAUACAGGUAAUGAUGGUAUUACUUCCAGUUCCAGGUAGAAAUCAAAUCCAAGACCCAGAGGUGAAAGACAUCCAGUUGGAACAAAGUUGAUGGAUAAUAUUUUUGACACAAAAGGGAGUGGUACUUUCAGAAAAUGCUUGUAAGAACAGCCUACCUGGGGAGGAAUGGAGACUUCACCUUGACUGCUGAUAAGACAGCAAAAGCAACUCACCUAAGGACUUGCUGACCCUGCAUAAGAGAAAUUAAAUGAAACAACAUGUAGUACUGGUAAUAUCCUAAGUUCCUGCUCUACAGCACAUGGGUUUGAAAGAACAUCUGUUGAACCUGUUUAAAAUUCUUAAAUCUUCAUUAAAAAAAUGGCGAGCUUCUAACAGGGCUGGAAGAAAGAACAGUGCAGCUUCCUAUAUAUUCUUUCCUAUUCUUGUGCUUUUUUCAUGGAAAUCUGCGUAUGGCCAGAAAAUUAUGCAUUGGAUGAACCUUUGGACUAAUACUGAAUGGACACUUAAAUUUUCUUCUGUAGGAACUGUUAUUUGUUAAGGCUGCAACAUAGCCUAAAAACAUCUGCAUACAGCAGCAGGAUGUUGGGAUAUUGGCAGGAUUUUUGUGUAAUCAGGAUCCUAGAAAAAAUACAUAUAUUGCAAGCUUACAUUUUUAAUGGUGGGCAUUGUACUUUGAUAGUGUACACAAAAGAUACAAGAACAUGAGAAACACAAAUGCAAUCUAUGAAAUGUCUUUGUUUCUUUCUAAAACAACAGUAAUAGAGAAAUAGAAAUGCCAUAAGAAAAGUUCAGUAACACAGGAAAAAAAUGCAAUGGCUUUGGAAGACUCUCCCAACUUUCCCUGGAAAAGCAGGAUGUACUUUUAUGAAAAGAUAAACCAUAGUUAAAAGGGAAGGGUGGAAGAAAAGCACUGAUUUGAGGAGCACUGUAGAUACUACAGAAACUAUUUUGCACAAGUUAGUGCUACACAAAACUUCAAAAUAAGUGGAUCAUGGAAGCUCAGAACAAGAAAACAAAGGCCAGCAGACAAAUUGAACAUUUACAAAUAUGUCAGGUUAUGAUGAUGUCAUUAGCAACUUGAAACAACUGCAAGUAAAUCCAAGCCUUGUGCAAUUGUGCAAUGGAAUGACAAAAUAUCACCAGGAGAAAUGUAAGCAGUGUUUACAACCCCAGAUAAAAUAUUAAACCUGAAAUGAUCUGGUAUCAGCACAUACACAAGUUUAUGAGUUUUAUCAAAUAUCUUUGUACCAAAAAAAAACAACAAAACACAACUCAGAAUUGAUUAGGUACCAGGAAUAUCCUCCAACAAUUACUAUAAAAUUGCCAAGGAGGAAAAGAAAUGUCUUCUGGGCACAUUACACCUAGAAAUACAUUGAGCACUUCCACAGGCUAGAAAUUUCUUCCUUACAGCACACUUGUUCAGCACACUUUAAACAAAAGUGUAUGGGACAAUUAUCUAAACUGGAAAUGGCUGCUUACCUGACAGUGUGAUAUUGCUAGCAGGUUUGGUUAACAGUACUUUCCUAAGUCUGGGCUGGCCAUGUAGGACUGAUAAUGAAAAUUAUGGGCUGGUUCUCAUUCCUAAUGCAAGUAAAAGACAUUUUCCUUCAUAAUAAAUAACACUAGUUUCCAUGCUAUCUCUCCUUCUGCUUUACCACUACAGCUGGGAAUGAUCACGUUCCAGAUUUCAGCUGCUGCAGCUGACCAUAGCCACAUUCUGCAUUCUCUGCCAUCUCUGCUGUGAGAACAACAGUUACAGCAAACCUGCAGGUUUGUGACUGCAGGCAUAUCUAUAGUAAAGCUUUCUUUUUCAGACACUCUUCUUUUUUAAAAGGCAGAUUAAUUUUUUAAAAAUGGAAGAUGAGUAUAACCCAGAAUAUGCUGCUUUACCUCAUGAUGCAAAUGUAAGUGUUAAAGGAAGACUGCAGAUGAAAUGCAGCCCCUUUUGUGUCUUCCAAGCAAACAGGAGAUACAGGUUCAAACCUAGCAUGACAAAUCCAAAAUGGUUGCUACAAUGACCUCUCCAUUAAAUUAAGAGAUUCUUCUACUGAGCUAUAAAUACACUGUGUGGAAGCUGAAAAAUCUUUGUAACAACUGAAGGUACUAAAGGCCAGAGGUCAGUUCAGUGUUUAUCAGUGCAGUUAAAAAACUGAGUCCCAAAGCUUGGCCAACCAGCACUGUCUUUUCUUAGAUAAAACUCUCCUAGUGUUAAAUAGAGUCUUAAUGAGCUCAAGUUCAUUAGUACAAGAUAGCUGAGAUCACGCUUUCCUGGCUUCACUAUUGCUUCAGCAAACCAGGUGAGCAUUUAUUUUAAAUGCUAAGAUGUAAUUUGUAACAAUAAAUUCAAAAAUAAAUGAAAAGAAGGUCAUGUGUGAGUAAUAGUGAAAGAUUAGCAAGUCAAAGAUAGUGAGCUUUGAAUAUUUUAUACAGACAAGUAAACGUUAGCUUAUGCAAGGAUGUUGUCUGCCAAAAUAAGGGUAAACUCCAAGAGCUGUUCCUAGUCACUGUAACAUAAGAUUGGACCAUAGAACAAAGUAGCUCUACCUUUGUUCGCAUAAGCUUGAAGAAGAUAUGCGCCAAGCUUCUCUGAAAUAGCUUUAUUAGAAAAUACUGCAGCUGAAGAAGGGGUUAUGUACCACAAGUCUAUUGUCCCUUAUCAUGGGUCCUUGUUGUGUGCCUGGUGAACAACAUGCUGCUUUAGGCAGGAGAUCAAGCUGCUGGUGAAGCUGUGCAGUGUUAGAUACGUAUCCUGCUCCUGGCAGAAUUGUGUUCAUGUCUGGUUUCUAAAAUGCAGCGUUUUGUCUCAGAUUGGAAGUUGUGACAGUGGAAACUUAAAUUCAGUGUCUGCAGUUACUGAGGGCAAAUGGUUCUGUGGAAGUGCGUUUAGUCACAACCCUCUAGAUAUGGUCAAAGACGAGCACUUGAAAGAGAGCUGUUUUAAGAAACACAACUGAAUAGAAUGGAAGAAGCUGGAGAAGAGUUGUUAUUUCACCUUAAAAUUGAGAGCAGGAUUUUAAAUUUUAUUAAAGGAUAAGAGGGAGGCACAGGGGGAAGGCUACCUUAACUGGUUAAAUUUGGGCAGCAUGUAGAGGGCAGAGCUGAGAGUAAGAUGUGCUAGAAGGGAAGAUUCAGUAUUAGUUCAGAGGAAAAUAGUGAGUUAAGCAUGUAAUGAUAACAGUGGUCCCGCUUUCUUUUUACAGAGAAUGGAAAUAGAUAAAGUAUGAAUAAGGUCAGCCUUGAAUGCAUUGCCUUGAGUAAGUGCCUCAUGAAAAUGAGGAAUCUAACCCUAGGUAAAAGCAGUGUGAUUGAAGUACACAUGCUUUUAUAGUAUGCAAAAUACUAAAUCACUAAAUCCUCUCCUCUAUAUGUGCAUAGGCAUGUACAUGUGUGCAUGCACAGCGGGGAUGUGCGCUGUCAUGACUUGUUACCAAGCAAAAAUUGUUAACCAAUUAGUUCAUACAAUAGUAACCUCCUAUGUCAAUGACAGAUUCUACAGAUUUAAUUUAGUCAGCAAGCUCUGCCUGUACUGACACUGAUGAGCAGAGUAACUCAGACUCCUUGGCUCUUAUGCCCCUGUUUGACUUUGGAACUCAGUUCGGAAAGUAUUUUCAUCUGCAUCUUUGAAACUAGGACUGUACAAUUUAUUUAACCUUUCUACAAACCCAUCUUUACAUCUGGAACAGCUUGUUGUUUUUCAUCUAGUGGUUGCAAGUGUGACAGUUAUGUUUUAUGUGUGAUGCAGAGCUACAGCAUUACAAUCCAUUGUAGCCAGCAAAAAGAGUUCCUGAUACAGGGAGCACUUUGAACCCUGAAAACCCAAAUUAUUUGUCCUAACAGGCUCCAAGCUCUUUCCAAUGGUCUGUCAAAACAAACAAAGGAAAACAGGAAAAACAAAGGAAGGAGGGGGCGGGGUUGGGGAGUGUAGAUAUAUAUAUAUAAUGUAAGAUUGUAGAACUCCACUAUUUUAAGUCAAACACUAUUUUUUAUUUUUAAGCAUAUGAUGGUCUUGUGUUGUGACAGCCUGAGCAUCAGGCAAACUUCAGGUUUUUCAGUUGGUUUUUCACUGUUGGUGAGCUUUGCUGUAGUUUGUACAAGGAUAGCAUGAAACAUCUGCCUAUCUGCCUGUUGCAUAUAGAAGUAUUUGGAGAUCUCUGCUUUAUCCACUGCCAUUGAUAGGAGGUGCUGAGAUUUACAGGAUUUGUUCUUAAUAGCAAAACUGUAGAAAGAGUUGCUAAACCUCUUUUAUAAUUACUAUACUGAAGAAGAACAUACAGCUAAAUUCAAUACAUAAGAGUUAUCUACAUUUUUUUUCUAGUUUCAACAUUCUUUUCCUGUAGAAGUAGGUAUUUAAAUAAUAUAGGCUUCAAAAUCAGCAGCAAAUGGACCAGAGUGUAUGUGUAUAGAAACUCUCUAAUUAAAAUUAGUGCCUUUAAAAAAUCACUGUAAACUCUGUUUUCUGUAAUUAUAACAAGCCCUAGAGUUUUACCUAUGUAAUAGUAAUUUUUUUUUACUGUCUUCACCAUUAUUUUCCUUUUCAUUUAUUUAACUACAUCUAACUUGAGCAAACAAUGUUAAGUGGGGAAACAGAUGUGGUUAAAUAGUCUGUAAUUAUGCCUU